rnacentral:rRNA from 1 species
UACGUAGGGGGCAAGCGUUGUCCGGAAUCAUUGGGCGUAAAGAGCGCGUAGGCGGCCCUGUAAGUCCGCUGUGAAAGUCAAGGGCUCAACCCUUGAAUGCCGGUGGAUACUGCAGGGCUAGAGUCCGGAAGAGGCGAGUGGAAUUCCUGGUGUAGCGGUGAAAUGCGCAGAUAUCAGGAGGAACACCGAUGGCGAAGGCAGCUCGCUGGGACGGUACUGACGCUGAGGCGCGAAAACGUGGGGAGCAAACGGG